rnacentral:rRNA from 1 species
UGCGAAGGGGGCUAGCGUUGCUCGGAAUCACUGGGCGUAAAGGGUGCGUAGGCGGGUCUUUAAGUCCGGGGUGAAAUCCUGGAGCUCAACUCCAGAACUGCCUUUGAUACUGAGGAUCUUGAGUUCGGGAGAGGUGAGUGGAACUGCGAGUGUAGAGGUGAAAUUCGUAGAUAUUCGCAAGAACACCAGUGGCGAAGGCGGCUCACUGGCCCGAUACUGACGCUGAGGCACAAAAGCGUGGGGAGCAAACAGG